CCAGUCAACAAUCGCAGGCAGUUUGUGUCAAAUUAAAACAUUUUCUUUUUAUAUAAAAUAACUUGAAAAAUGUGUCAGGGGUUUGGAGUCAAAAAAAUACAUUUCAUAUUUUUGCUAAGGUUGCAUUAUACUUGCCAGCGAUCUCCAGGAGUUCGCGUCAAAUACAUUAUAUAUUAAUAAACAUUAACUUCAGAUACCAGUCAACAAUCGCAGGCAGUUUGUGUCAAAUUAAAACAUUUUCUUUUUAUAUAAAAUAACUUGAAGAUGUGUCAGGGCUUUGGUGUCAAAAACAUAAAUUUCAUAUUUUUGGUAAGGUUGCAUUAUACUUGCCAGCGAUCUCCAGGAGUUCGCUUCAAAUACAUUAUAUAUUAAUAAACAUUAACUUCAGAUACCAGUCAACAAUCGCAAGCAGUUUGUGUCAAAUAAAAACAUUUUCUUUUUAUAUAAAAUAACUUGAAUAUGUGU